UUCUCUUAAUUGUUGGGAAACAAAUUACAGAAAAUUGUGAAUGCCAAAGAAAAAUAUAAGGAUAGCUACUGCAGAGAGGAAAAAAAUGUAAGGAUAGCUGAUACAAGGCAGAAAAUUGUGAAUGCCAAAAGGACAAUUACGAAAACCAGCGAGCAUGAUCGAGCCUCAAAGCAAUUGGCCAAGGCUAUAGGGAUGAGUGUUAGUAGUCUAGAUACAAAAUUGCGCAAUGGAGGUGAGUCAGGAGAAAGAAUUUUAUAAAGUUACUGGAGACUUGUUGUCAAUACUCGUGAUCAAGGCAAAAGAUUAAACUUAUAUUCAAUCCAGAGGGAGAAUAUAAUCUGUGAACAUAUGUUUAGUGGUGGAUGAGACAAGCUAUUACUGGGGCAAUAGCAAACAAGUAUAGGAUGAUCAGAUUACUGAAAUUGACAUCACUGCCCAUUGGGAUUCGUCGGCUCACUGCAUUACAACUCCUCAGAAUUACGUCAUGUGCCGAUGUGUAAUAUGAUAGAUGCCUGAAAGAAACGGGAAGAUUGGCCAAAGAUAGCUUGCAUCCCAUAUGUUUAUAUUGAACAACCUCUGUGGCAUACAACUAUACAAGCAAGAAACAGGGUGGAAGCAGCCGAAAGGGAGAUUACAAAAAUUAUCGAGCAUGAGCAGACACACAGAAAUUGGCCAAGGCUGCUGACAAGAUUUUGUGUACUGGAGACGAGUCGGGAGAGAUUAAGGUUACAACACCUGAUUCAGGUCACUAUACAUUUUAUUUUCCAUUUUUCUGCCUGCUUUAGAUUAAGACUCAAUUUCUUUCUUCCCAUGUUGCGGGAAGGAGCAGGGAUGUUCAUAUAAGUUGUGAACAUAUGUUUAGUGGUGGACGAGACAAGCUAUUACUAGGGCAAUUAGCAAACGAGUCGAAGAUUAUUAGAUUACGUGAAGUACAGCAAGCUGCUCAGAAAGCUUACGAUGUGGAAAGGGUUGAUGAGAUUGUAAAGAAAGCUUUAGCAGUGGCCAACAAAGGAGCCAAUGCAGCUAGAGAAGGCUGUCCAAACUCAAAUGCAUCACAGAAAGUCGGUUGAAGCGAAUGUGACUGAUUGAGCAGCAAGAUAGGUAUCCUCCAUUUUAUGGCUUCGAUAAUGUGUAAAUAGGCUUAGUUGGAGGUCUACAAGUGAAGGAUAUAGCUAAAGCGUUUGCGAUACUCUAGGAUUUUCUUCUCUGUGUAAGCAUUUAAAUGUAUUUUUAUGUGCAUUUGGCCUAAAUAAAUUGGCCAUCUAGACUUGCAACUUCAUCGGAAUCUUCAAACAGAGUCACUGUCUAUAUAUAUCAACUAUGGCUUUUAUGAGUAAUGUGGCCCUCAA